GACGAACGCUGGCGGCGUGCCUAAUACAUGCAAGUUGAGCGAUGAAGCUUGGUGCUUGCACCAAUUUGAAGAGCAGCGAACGGGUGAGUAACGCGUGGGGAAUCUGCCUUUGAGCGGGGGACAACAUUUGGAAACGAAUGCUAAUACCGCAUAACAACUUUAAACAUAAGUUUUAAGUUUGAAAGAUGCAAUUGCAUCACUCAAAGAUGAUCCCGCGUUGUAUUAGCUAGUUGGUGAGGUAAAGGCUCACCAAGGCGAUGAUACAUAGCCGACCUGAGAGGGUGAUCGGCCACAUUGGGACUGAGACACGGCCCAAACUCCUACGGGAGGCAGCAGUAGGGAAUCUUCGGCAAUGGACGAAAGUCUGACCGAGCAACGCCGCGUGAGUGAAGAAGGUUUUCGGAUCGUAAAACUCUGUUGGUAGGGAAGAACGUUGGUGAGAGUGGAAAGCUCAUCAAGUGACGGUAACUACCCAUAAAGGGACGGCUAACUACGUG
rnacentral:rRNA from 1 species